GCCCGGGUGAUGAAAUUGGUAGACGUAGGGGACUCAAAAUCCCCCGCCGCAAGGCGUGCCGGUUCGAGUCCGGCCCCGGGCACCA
rnacentral:tRNA from 4 species